rnacentral:rRNA from 1 species
UGAGGAAUUUUGCGCAAUGGCCGCAAGGCUGACGCAGCAACGCCGCGUGGGUGAAGAAGGCCUUCGGGUCGUAAAGCCCUGUCAGGUGGGAAGAACGACCGGGAAGUGAAUAGCUUUCCGGUGUGGCGGUACCACCAGAGGAAGCACCGGCUAACUCCGUGCCAGCAGCCGCGGUAAUACGGAGGGUGCGAGCGUUAUUCGGAAUUACUGGGCGUAAAGCGCGUGCAGGCGGGCGGGCAAGUCUGAUGUGAAAGCCCCGGGCUUAACCUGGGAAGUGCAUUGGAAACUGCUCGUCUUGAGUACUGGAGAGGAAGGGGGAAUUCCCGGUGUAGAGGUGAAAUUCGUAGAGAUCGGGAGGAAUACCAGUGGCGAAGGCGCCCUUCUGGACGGUAACUGACGCUGAGACGCGAAAGCGUGGGGAGCAAACA